rnacentral:rRNA from 1 species
UGCCAGCCGCCGCGGUAAUACGUAGGGUGCGAGCGUUAAUCGGAAUUACUGGGCGUAAAGCGUGCGUAGGUGGUCUUGUAAGUCAGAUGUGAAAUCCCCGGGCUCAACCUGGGAACUGCGUUUGAAACUACAAGGCUAGAGUGUGGCAGAGGGGGGUGGAAUUCCGCGUGUAGCAGUGAAAUGCGUAGAGAUGUGGAGGAACACCGAUGGCGAAGGCAGCCCCCUGGGUCAACACUGACGCUCAGGCACGAAGGCGUGGGUAGCGAACGGGAUUAGAUA